CUUCUCUCCAGUCAGAGCUGGGAGGAAGCGCAACAGGGCAGCUGCACAGGAGCCACUACCAUUAUCACGGACGCUGAGUAAAGACCGCGGGUUCUGACGCGAACAAGGGGAUUUGGCCAGGUGUGCUCGGGUUGGGCACAAUAUUUGAUGGCGAGCUAGGAGCCCUACCAAGAACUGGAACAUCACAUUCAACUCUACAGCCUUUGCGGUCUGGUAGGAGGCUGUUGCAGCCUGUCCCUCCCAUAGACUCAAACAUUCGCAUUCACAACCUUAACAUAUGGACAAAAGGGGAAAUUUUAUGGACAAUUAAGCCCAUAUCAGUGGCAACCUCAUUUUUUUGUUCUGUUGUAUGCCCAUUUUUGGGAGAUGAUAUGCUGAUAGUGCUGCAUUGUUGUUGUAUUGUGUGACUUAAACUGUGAAAGUGCACUUAUUUUUGCCUUACUCUAAGGGUAAAAUAUUGAGACUGAUACUGAAAUCCUGCAGAUUUUGUAAAUAUUGUGUUUUUGUGUGUUUUAUGUUUCACUUGCAAUACAUGGUACCAACCACAAAGUAAAUCUAUUCCAGUCUGGUUUUUGCACUGUUCUCCCACCUCCCAGUGAGCCGAUACUUAACUCUUCUGAUUUAGCCCAACGCUCAACUCAAUAUCCAAGUCCAAAAUAUCAAUUCACCCUCUUUCUGAGCCACAUGCGCUACAUGCGUGCUACAUAAACAACCAGUUUUGUUCCCAUUAAGUAAAUCUGAAGCAUUUUUUCCACUUCUGUGUUGAGAGUUGCAUGAAAAUCCCCCUGUGGCCGUCAUGUCAAAAAUAAAGUCCCUCUCUGCUCCGUCUGACCCCAGCGGCUGCCAUAUUAUAAAAGAUGUAUAUUAUAAAUGUAAAUAUUAUAUGGUUUACCUGUUACACUGAGGCGUACUCUCCCCUUCCUGUUCUGUUCCCCCACAGGUGCGGCCAGGUAACACUGGUACACUGCCUGGUCAGAGCACGUCACUGUGGGCAGCCGCAGGUUCAGAGUCCCCUCCUCCAGAGAGACCCGCGUGUCUGCGUCCACGUACCACCUCAUCUGACCAUCAGGGAGUGUUUUGGACACCAGCCCGCUCAGACGAGGGACUCCGGUCUCCUGCACAAACAGCAUUGGUAAAGUGAUCAGAUCCAAUGACCCACAUGCUGUGAAUGAUACAAGGAUAUUCAGAGAUGUCAGAGAGCAGCUCUAAGUAAAAGGCCAGUUUUGGGUGGGCAAAAAUUUAGUCAGAAGUGAUUUGCUGUGAGCCUGAUCCUAUAUCAGGGGCGACCUCUAACACCCACAGAGCCAGUUGGGCCCAGUUUCCAUGGGGAAAACAAAACACAGGGAGCCGCAAAUACUUUUUAACAUCUAAAAUGAAGAUGACACUGUAUAUAUUGUUUUUUUUACCUUUAUGCUUUGUAUAAACAACUAUAGCGUGUCGCGCUGCACAGCAUCAGCAGAUCAGGGCUGUAUCUGUACACAGGACUGUCAGCUGUCGUCUGUGAGGCAUAAGCCUUUGUUUUUAACAUAGUUCAUGGCAGGUAUAGCGGCUUCCGCAAGUGUGACACUUAUUGUUCUUGGGGGUUCCAUGUUUUUCACAGGGUCAACUGGGAAUAGGUGAACGAUAGACACUUCCAUAUGUAGCAUAUAAACGCAGAAUUGUAGAUGAGUAUGUUGCUACGUGUGUGUAUGUAUGUGCUUUCUAAACUUUGACCAUUGUGAAAAAUAAAUUGAAUUGAAUUGAGUGACAAAAAAUAAAAUAUCAUUUUAUUUUAAUAUUUCAAGAUCAUGAUAAUCUUCCAGAAACUGGAGAAAGAAGUACCGAGCCUUGGGUGUAUACAGCUCUGGAAUUGUCCAGUGCUAUUGAACAAAAGGUAAAAGGAGCCGUCAACUUGAAAACUACCUCUUCAUGACACCACAAUGUGGAACAGAGCACUUGGAACGCCUAAUAAACCAGGAUUACUCAAACGUGUGAAUGAAGCAACACAACUCCAGUAUGUUUUUGAUGACCACUGUAACAUGGCUUAAAGUUCACAAGAGAAAAUUUUGCAAAAUAUGGGACCUUGAAAGAGUGCUCAAACAUGCACGAAUCACUCAAAACACAACUUCAGGUGAGUAAAUGGUGAAGGGAAACCACUAUAAGAUGGUUAAAAACUCUGAAAAGAAAAUUUAGCAGAAUAGGUCUGCUUUAAAUAUCUAAGGUUCUACAGAGCAACUACAGCUUUACAAAGGGAUGGAGGAGACAUCAGGAGUCUAACCCCCACCCUCCUUACUGGGAAGAGAUGAGACAACCACUGCUAGUUGAGUCUUGUCACACAGACUCACAGUGGAAAUAUGUUUGUUUAGGCUAUUCUUGUAUAAAUAAAGAUAAAAGAAAAAUGUAAUUAACAGAAAUGCCCUCCAAGAAUUUUAACAUUGCUUAACUAUUGCAAAACAAGGACUCGUCCAGGACUCUUGUGCUCAUUAGUCCUGAGCUCUCAUACCUUUAAUAUAAUUUGAGGGUUUUUUUGGGAUUGUAAAAUGAAUGGGAAAUUUACAUCUGAAUCCAGGGGGCGGGCGGUCACAGCUGAGCUCCUUUCACCGCUUUAUGAAUUUGGAGGGAAAUGUUUAAGCUGUAUUUCCUUGUACUGCAAAUCUAGUUCACAGGAGAAAGGUUUCUCGUAAAUCAUAGCAUUAAUCUGCACAGCUCUUAAAUUACAAGCUACGUCUGCCAACAGCAAACAAACAAGUUCAACAAUACAUUCUUAGGCAACUAUCAGAUCAUAGUACACAUUAAAAUGAAGACAACGAUCAAUGAGAAUACAAAGGGUUUUUUCCUGCUUAUUCUGGUCAAAUGUGGUGCUGUAAAGGUGAAAGUAAAAACUUAAUUAAUUCAUAAAGUAAGUAACUUCUAAAUUAAACAGAGCUACAUAAUAAUGCAAGACAGGGUUAAUGUUACACCAGCUUAGUUUACUUUCAAAUUCACAGGAAGUUCAUCACAAGGUCAAAAUAAUGGUGACAUCUGUCAGAGGAUCACAGUCAUGGAACACAUGACCUGCCCAUGUCAGGAACUGUGGCUCCUUUUCAACCUUCAAGAACACUCUGAAACACUGGUUGAAAAAUAAUCAAACAUGCUCACACAUGUAGAUUUUAUUAUUAUUUUUUUUUUUUUUCCUGGGACAUCUUAAACUCGGAAUAUGGUCUAUUGUGGUUCACUUGUUGUCAUGUCUAUGUGCACUUUUGGUUUGUCUGUGUUUCUUUAAAUUUCCUGUUUUUGACCUGCCUUAGGACAACGGGUGUAAAGUAGCUAUUGUGCUAAUUCCGGCAUAUUUACAUUGAUGCUGUUUGUUGACAUGUUGAUUAAUAUGCACUGUCCUAAUU